UUUUUGUUGUGGGCACGUUUAUAUUUGCCUUCUUCUAUUUCAGCAUUAACAUCUAAACAAUUUUGCAAAAUUUUGCAGUGACGAAGAUAACAACGGCAGAAAGCACUGCCAUGAAAAAGAUGAUGCUGCCAUCUCUUCCUCCUAUCACCGCAAAAUGCCCUCAGGCUGAAGAUGGUACCUACAUCUACUCUCAUGCUCUCUGUCAUCUCAACCCGUUCAUCAAUUGAGCAGUUUUAGUGCUUGGGAUACAAUGGAAGGUCAAAUCAAACGUUAUCUAAAGCCAAAAUAAAGUUAUUGUUAGUAGAACAAGCAAGAAGAAUUUGAUGCAAUGCUACAUCAAGGUCUUGGGAUACAGAUACUAGCUUCUGUUAUUGCUACGAGCCUAUCAAGAAGUUUAUUAUUUUUAAGAGAAAAAUAUAUAGAAUUCUGAUAUGGUUAGUUUAUUAUUUUUUAAAUUAGAUGUGUGGAAAAACUAUUGAUUGAUACUUGGUGAGAUCAUUAACCAGGUGCAAUCCCUCCACCACCAAAUUAAGGUAAAUUACAUAGAUGGUAUUUGUUUUAGAGUUUGCAAAAUCUGACUUUGCAAACAUGGAUAAGGUUGUUUAUCUGUUUUGCCCAACAAAGAGUAAAAUUUUCAAAAUAUUUCCAACCUUACUUUUUCAAAUCUUUCAAAAACUCAAAUAUUAGUCAUUAGUUGCAAUUUAUGUUCCAAAUGAUGGGAGUUAAACUUUAGAAAGAAGGUUGAAUUCUGUGUGUGUAUUCAUGUAGUUCCUCUCAAUGAAGUUAGAUCUUAAUCGAAGAAUGGACUUAAUAUGGAAUGCCUUCUCUCCAAGGAUUUUAAAUUAGAGCAAACUUCUGGUAUUACUCAUGAGCUCUUGGCUUGAGAUAUUCAAACCGCUGGAUCGUCGCAUCAUACCAACAAAAGCAGCUGCAGAGUUUGGAUUUUAGGGUUAUAAAGCAUGUUUAGACUUUAGACUUUAGAGGAAAAUUUAGAUCAUCAAGGUCUAUUGAGAAAAACAACAGUCAAAUUAUACUGAAAAACUCUUAGUACAAACCUUAUUCCUAUUCAACUUGAAACAGUCGUAUAGUAGUGGCAUAAUGACUUAUUGAUGCCUCCUCUACUAUAGCAUUGUAAGCUUCAUCAUCCUUUUUUCGUUUUCGGUUGUAGUCUAUCGUACUAACAUUUCCUUCUUUA